UUGGAACUAGGCAGCAGCUUCGCAAAAUAGGCGAGUGUAGUCUCACAGUUGGAGAUCAGUCUAUCUGCCCUGUGCCCCAGGUGAAGAAUCUUGGUGUUGUUUUCCGUUCUUCAAUGUCACCAGAAUCACAAGCUGCAGCAGCAAUCCAACAUCUCCAGCUUGUACAAAACAGAGCUGCCAGGAUCAUAUCCAGGACAAAAUGUCAGGAACACAUCACCCCUGUGCUGAGGUCGUUGCACUGGCUCCCAGUAAAGAGGAGAAUACAGUACAAAAUAAUUUGCAUCACCUACUCAACCCUCUAUGACAUCAAUUCACCAGCUUACCUCAAAGACAUCAUCGAAAUCUAUCGUCCAACUCGUGUCUUAGGUCUGAGAAAAGAGGCAGCCUGAAAAUGCCAGCUACAAAAACAUCCAUGGGAGACAGAGCUUUCAGUGCUGCUGCACCAGCUUUGUGGAACUCUCUGCCAGUUGAACUGAGAUCAGUAUCUUCCCUGGAAGCAUUUAGGAGCCAACUAAAAACUCAUCUCUUUCUAGCUACCUACUAGUUUCUCCACUUUCUCUGCACAGCGCCACUGAGCAGCACUGGUUGGACAUUAGGCGCUUAAACAAAUGCAUUAUUAUUAUUAUUAUUAUUAAUGCUUCUUGUAACGAAAGUAC